ACAAGCCAACUAAGUCGCAUAAAUAUGCUCCUAUCAAAUUCCCCCACACUUAGCUUUUGCUAGUCCUCAAGCAAAACAAAGAAACAAAACAAAACAAAAACACAAUCUAAACCUUCCAACAUUUGCCUCAGGGAUUUCCAAUGCACAUGACAUGUUAAAAAUCAUCACUCCCACAAAUUUUAGUCAUCUUCACACUUAAGCACAUACUUAAUCAUAGUCACCACAUACUAGUUCACAUUUAACCAAUUAAAACAUGAUUUUGAAUGUAGUAACAUGCCUUAGAGAAUGUGCUCAAUUCCUUACUAGAUAUGCACUCAAUUUUCACUCAGAUUUUCUGACUACACACCCUAUACUAGUUAUAUGUGAGAAGAUUGAUGUAACUAUGAAAAUGAAUGCUCACAUAUAUGUAUAACAAAGAAAGCACUUUUCGGAGUUAAUAAGCAUGUUUAGAUAUAAUCUCAUGAAUGGAAUGCUACUACUUAGAUGCGAGAACCAGUGACACCAUAUGCUCAUACCAAUUUUAAACUCCACAAAUUGAAACACAUAACACUCAAGAUUAAAGUCAAGGGUUGUAACGGGGCUAGGGGAGUUGGCUAACAACGAAAGGAUAGGGAAAACAAACGUUCUUUAAGCAAUAGUAAGCAAAACAAUGAAAUCGUACUCAGAAUUCCCAUUAGCAUGCAGAAAUUAACUUUUAAACACAAAGGGAAGAUUCAACAACAAUUAGGGCCGAAUUCACUGUUUUGGACCCUUCCUUCAACAAACAACACUUAAGAACUCUUUUUCACAUCUUUUCAACUCCUUUUCAUUCUUUUCACAACUUUUUCGUUCUUUUUUUUUCUUUUUAUUUUCCACGAAAUUUUUCUUUUUCUUUUCCUUUUCGUGCCUCAUUCAAGACUUUGGCACACCCACAACAAAACUCACUUCCCCCACACUUGUUUUCU
rnacentral:lncRNA from 1 species